AACACUGUAAAUUUGGUAUGUUUAUUUUGUAGCCUGCCAAUUAUUUGGAAAGGCCAUUAUUUCACCCAGUCUUCAGUUAGCAGUUUCCAACUACACAGUCACAUCCGCUGCAAAUACUAAUCAUUUUUCUCCCGCUUCACAUAUAAUAUAUACAUACAUAUACACACACGUAUAUUUAUUUUUAACAGAGGCACAACUUCAGUAUUUUUACAUCUUAUUUCCUUCUCUUGUCUAAUUGCAUUGACCAGACUUCCCAAAACCGCCCUUCCCUUGCCCUAACUUUAACCGAAACGCUUGGCUUGCUAUAAGCUUACUGCAGGAGGAGGCUUUGAGAAGGUUUGGUUGUCGUUGUUGUUUAUGGGAUUUUUUUUUUUUUUUAACUGUAAAGGGAAUCUCUGAAAAAAAAAAUGCAUUUGAAGAGCGUAUUAGAAGAGCCCAGAUUGGCCUGCGCGCUUGCAAGGAGCUCUUGGGCCCCCUCCCCGCGGUGCCAACCCUCUGCCCCGGGGGCUGAAGUUUCUCUCUGCGUUUCCGCUUGAACUGCGUCCAGCUGCCUCGCCUUUAAAAUGCCAGGGCGGCCGCGGCUCCGCUCAGAGCCCCCCUCGGCUGCUGGCCUGGGCUCGCCCGCGCCGCCGGGGCGCUGACAGCCGCAGCCCGGCCGCUCCCGCGGAGCGGGGCCUCGGCAGCGCCCCUCGCGCCCCGCGAGCCCGCACCCCAGAGACGGGAAACGCCGCAGCCAGCGACCCGCGGUCGCCCUUGGCUCGGGGCCGGCCCAACCAGGACCCCGGGAGCGCCCCGGACGGGCCUCGCCAGGUCUCUGUUUGGAUUCUUCAUUGUGUCUUGUGGCUUUCUCACAGCGGUUGGCAGGAUUCUUUUCCAUUUGGAUCUGCUACAACCCAACCUUAAACCUUCACGCUUUGACAAAUAC
rnacentral:lncRNA from 13 species